rnacentral:lncRNA from 1 species
AUGGCCUUAAAUCCAUUCUGGAGCCCAGGCUGCCUCAAACUCACAGGGCACACCUCCUGCCUCAGCUUCCCAAGUGAUAAGAUUACAGGCAUGUAUCACCAAGCCCAGCUCAGAAAUAUUUUCAAAGAAAGAGUAGCAAAGGACAACAAACUAACAUGCGGACAACAAGGACCCACGGACUCAACCCAAGCAGUGACAAAGUAA